rnacentral:rRNA from 1 species
UGGAGAGUUUGAUCCUGGCUCAGGACGAACGCUGGCGGCGUGCUUAACACAUGCAAGUCGAGCGGUAAGGCCCUUCGGGGUACACGAGCGGCGAACGGGUGAGUAACACGUGGGUGAUCUGCCUCGCACUCUGGGAUAAGCCUGGGAAACUGGGUCUAAUACCGGAUAUGACCAAGGGUUGCAUGAUCYUUGGUGGAAAGAUUUAUCGGUGCGAGAUGGGCCCGCGGCCUAUCAGCUUGUUGGUGGGGUAACGGCCUACCAAGGCGACGACGGGUAGCCGGCCUGAGAGGGUGAUCGGCCACACUGGGACUGAGACACGGCCCAGACUCCUACGGGAGGCAGCAGUGGGGAAUAUUGCACAAUGGGCGGAAGCCUGAUGCAGCGACGCCGCGUGAGGGAUGACGGCCUUCGGGUUGUAAACCUCUUUCGACAGGGACGAAGCGUGAGUGACGGUACCUGUAGAAGAAGCACCGGCUAACUACGUGCCAGCAGCCGCGGUA